UGGUCCUGUGGAAACGUUUCCUC
rnacentral:piRNA from 1 species